rnacentral:rRNA from 1 species
UACGUAGGGGCCUAGCGUUGUCCGGAUUUAUUGGGCGUAAAGAGCUCGUAGGCGGUUUGGUAAGUCAGGUGUGAAAUCUCCACGCUCAACGUGGAGGGGCCACCUGAUACUGCCAUGACUGGAGUCCGGUAGAGGAGUGUGGAAUUCCCGGUGUGAGCGGUGAAAUGCGCAGAUAUCGGGAGGAACACCCGUAGCGAAGGCGGCACUCUGGGCCGGUACUGACGCUGAGGAGCGAAAGCGUGGGGAGCAAACGGAUAGAA